UUCUUUACAUUAGCUCCCUUAAGGCUCUAUCUGCCUUUGAGCUUGCUUACCGGCAGUGCUUCUGACCACUCAUGGGUUAAUUUGAGGCAGCACAGCCAGGCGCCUGUCAGCUCUAAUGGAUUCAUCACUAUUAAUAAGUUUGGCGCCUAAUUUACUACGAGCUGGCACUGGCAAUGACGCUGAGAGAUCACAUGUCCCAGCUGAUGCGCAGAUUCUUCCCCACUGAAAUGGACGUUUCUGCCAAAGUCAAUGAGUAAAACUGACAGUGCGGAUGACUAACCUCCAGCCCAGAGCCUUUGGCAGCUCACACCUUUGUGCAAAGCACGAUCCAGUAGUUCCCUUUGGUUCUUUAUCAGCAUCUAUUUCUCUGAUGAGCUUGAGGAACUGUUAUUAUUAGCUAUAGGUACACGCCUUUAUAUCCUAGAACAACACCAAAAUAUCAUUUUAAGUUGAUUCUUCUCAAACAAUGACCAUCUGUAUAAAAUACGAAUGUCUGACCAAGGAAAUAUGUGUGUUUUUUGGAUAAUACAUGCAUGUUUUGGAGACACAAUUUUAAAAGUUACACAGAUUGGUCCCGAGGAUUCACAGACUGGUCUAAGGCUCUGGACUCCACCUUGAUUCACCAAUUUGCCUAAAAUAUGCUACAAAAGAAACUUCUGUGUUGCAGAAGGCUUCAAGGUGCUGUUCAUGUUUUCAGAAUGAUCUGCGACAAUAUCAGGUUUGAUUGUGACCAUCCUAUAUCAGAUCUCUGAAACCUUCAGGAGUUGAGGCCUGGCUAGUGCUUGGCUAGGGAUGGGCCUGUGAGGAUGACAGCGUCCCUGUUCCUGCUGUGUUCUCUGCUUCCCGUCGGCUGGGAUGUGAACAACCUCUGCUAUCCCUCUCCACCAUAAACUGUGCUACCACAGUCGCUUCCCUUCAGCGAUGGGCUCUGAAACAGUGAGGAGAAAUAAGCCUUUUCUUGGGUAACUUGUUUUCGUCUGGUGUUUGGUCACGGUCCACACAAAUUACUGAUAGACCAGCUGAGUCAAAGCCAAAGUACAUCUUAAGUAAUCCAAUCUCAGUGUGGCAUUUACUUCACAAUCUACAUUUGUUGUUAAGUUCUUCUCCAUGGUUCAUUUGAAAACUGACUCUCUCCCCCCUGCCCCCCACCAUUAUUAUACCUUUGAGGCAAGAGAAAAAGGAAUUUUCCAGUGCUGGGCCUGUGACUAGAGUCUGCAAGUGUGGGUCUCACCUCGACAUCCUCCGUAACUAUCCAGUACCCUUGGUGCCCUGGGAGGUGCGGUUUUGUUCACUGUUUAUUUUUCCUCUCGAGUGUGUAAUCACCUCAGGUAGUUAUGUUAUGGUGACAACAGAGACAUUUGUAGCUGAGCUCCUACAAGUUCCCACAGGCAGCUCUGGUGGUCAUAAAUCUUGAUGCCAUGUGACGUCUCUUUUGCAUCCAGGGACAGGAUAAUUCCACUUACCCCACCUCUGGUAAAAGGACAUUCCUGGAAGCAGCCAGCACACAGGCAUGGUCGCCAGCUUUCCUGCCCCUUCAAGGAAGAAAUUGGCUUUAAAUUAACCCCAAAUUCGUUUGUUGUAGAAAAAUCCAUUGGGCUUAGAAAUGAUCUCUUGUUUCCAAAUAUAAAUAGCAUCUAUUUAACAGAUGACUUUAUUUAUUUAUUUUAAUAUUUAAUGCCUAAUGAGCACCAAAUUGGUUAAGUUAAAAGCAACUGAGUCCUGAGAAAUGAACUCUGCCAGGCUGUGUUCUGGAGUGAGAAGCCAUUGUUCAUUGGGUGUUGUGGGUUUGUUGUUGUUGUUGUUGUUGUUGUUGUUGUUGUUAUUUACUGUGUGUUUAUCUCUGCCAAUCACAGACUGAUCUCCUCUUCCUGCCUUCCCUGCUUUUUUUCCCCUCAAAUUUGGCUUCACCCACUUUCUCUUUUAAAAAAACAUUUUUCCUAGCGACUACAUUCCAGUAUGUCACCUCAUAAAGUUCCUCUGGGUGUGCCCUUUUAAAAAAUGAAUGCUCAAAUAAGCAAACCUCUGAAGGUCACACGUACGCAGACACGUGGACACAGCAUGCACACACCCAGAAACACAGACACCCAGAGUCAGGACACUCCAAGAACCCUCAAACUAGGAAAUUUAAGAGUUCUGAGUUCUGCUCCAGUUUUGAACCAUGGUUUCCAGAGAGGUUAAAAUACCACUCUGUCCCCGCAUAAAGUAAAUGCUAAUGCUAAUAUUGCUUCAAAGGAAAGACUGUUUCUUCUUAAGUGGCUGUGCACAUUGUAACUCCGGGAGCUCUAUUCUUAGAAGAUCUAGGUGGUGUUGGGCAUAUUCUUUUAUAGAAUAAUGGGGUGUUUAUGUUACACAGUCCCAUUGUGAGAUCAAUCAGUCCCUGCCAGGGUUUAUAAACAUUGUCUGCAGGUGGUCCUGGCAGAGCAUCCCAGAAGACAACACUUUAUUGUCUGGAAACAGGCCUGCAUAGCCCAGAGCAACAGGCCCAGUGCUGUGGACAAAGCUUUGAGCUGGCCAGAAGGUAACUGAUGGAGUCACAACAAGCAAUUCUUAGCUCCUUCCCCAGGGCCUCCUGAGCAAUGGACUUCUGAGAACCAAGAACUUGAGGCCUACCAGAGAGGGAGAACUGGCCCAGCCACUCACACUCUGACAGCCUUUCUCUUUGCUUUGUAGCUCCUCCCUCCUCCCCUAAUUUUUCUUUCAGGAAGAAGGUGAAUUUUGCAGGGUUCUCUUCAGCUGUAUUUUUUCCAGUUGCAUUGGUUUGUUUGUUUGUUUUUUAAAAUAUCAAAAGUGAAUAGGGAAGUGUAGUUGUGAUGGCUUCAUAUUCUUUUUAGAUUUCCCAGAAAACACACAAGAGGUUAUUCCUUCACACUUAACCUCCAGCACCACCUGGUGAAAAUUUAAACCAGGCUACUACGUGCUAUUCAAGAAUAAAGGCAAAGCAAAUGGGGUCACAAAAAGCAUGCAUACUUAGGAGGACAGCCAUCUCUGUACCUUGCCCUCUCCUUUCCGUUUGCUCAGCACUAGCUUCAGGCCUCUUGAUCAUGUGACCUGAGAAGCAAAAGUCCUCUGAGGUUGGGACUCAGGAGAUAAUAGCGUCGAGGGCCACCUUUCCUUAAACCUCCCAGCUUACCUUCAGCUUCUCUGGUCAAGGGAGUCCUUUGUCCACCAAAGAGGUCUGUCUAGAUAGGCUCUCAAUGUCUUUCCACUUCCCAUGGUCUAUGAUUCCGUACUUCAUACCUUAGGCUACUGCAUGCCUCUGGUUUAGAAUUGGCUUCUACCCAAGACUAUGCUAUUGGCCCAGGGAAAAUAAAUAUGGCUGGGGCCUAUGCAGUCAGGACUUUGCUUUGCAUAGUUUUAGGGCUAUGCGUGCUGUCUUUGUAUCUCACAGUUAAGACCCCACCAGCAGAAAUUCAUUUUCAAAGAGGGGUGUUAAAAGAUGUGGUAUUAUUCAGAAAAGAAUGAUCUGCUGAGGGAGACUGUUGUUUUGAUUCCUCUAUAAUUUAUCUUUCAACAGAUGGCAGCCUGGAGAAGAAGCAAUAAACUAUGGCUUGCAAAUGUCAGGGCGUUGAUUCCCAAGGGUGGUGUCCAGACCGUCCUUGAUGAGGAACUAUUGUCAAACAUGAAUACUUUAGAGCCUGACUGAUUGUUUCUUACCUCUGAACACCCAGUCUACAGAAACUAAAUAAGUGCUGUUAGUUUGGGUCUCAGCUGUUCCCCAGGGACUGACAUCCCCAACCUGAGGUGCUCUUGUAAUGGGAUAGAACCUUUAGUGUGCAGAGCUGAGGUGUAGGAAGUCAUGUCACUGGAGAGACCCUGCCAUCUCCUCAAUCCUUCCUUGCUCAUUGCCCACCAUGAAGUGAGUGGCUUCCUUCCCUACCUACUCCCGCCAUGACAUUCUGGCCUGUUGCAGGCCUAAAGCAAAAGUCUAAGCAGCAAGUACAUGGAAUGACACCCUAAAAAACAGCAUGCUGGUUGGCUUGUGUCAAUUAGACACAAACCUAGACAUUUUGGGGGGAAUAGACUCUUAAUUGAGGAAAUGCCUUCAUACAAGUGGCCUGUAGGCAAGUUUGUAAGACAUUUUCUUGAGAUUCACAUACCCAUUGUGGGUACUACCAUUCCUGAAAUGGUAGCCCUGAUCGUAUAAGAAAGCAGGCAGAGGAAGCUGGGAUAAGCAAGUCAGUAAGGCAGUGUUCCUUCAUGGGUUAUGCUUCAGAGCCUGCCUUGCGUUCCUGCCCUAACUCCCUUUGAUGAUCGACUGUGAUACAAAAGUGUAAGUGAAAUAAACAUUUUCCUCCAUAAGUUGAUUUUGGCCCUGGUGCUUUAUCACAGCAGUAGAAAGCUUAACUAAACAAUGGUAAGUGGAUCACCUCAGGUAUUUCUGUUACCACUUGGAAAACAACAAGCAGAAGUACUCGGACCUUCUCUUGAAUAUCUGAAUUAAACUGGGGAGGAGAAACCUACCUUAUUUAAACCAACCAUACUAGACACGGAGGUCAGUAAUUAACCUGAAGGGUGUUUAAGGCUGGCUAGUGGUGUUCUGAGAUCUUCUCCUUGGGUCACCUUAUGUAGAGUCAAGAAGUACCUUUGAGUAAUCCUUUCCUGUAUGGGCAUUGUGCUAGGAGAAUAGGUAAAGGCCCUCCUGGGUUUUGACUGGUUAAAUUCUGGUGUUUGAGUACUUGUGCUGAAGGCCUGAGACCUAAACUUUCAUCUUGUGUCUUAUUGUCACCAAGUUUUAUUGAACCUUCUCCAUAGUUUUCGAUAGAUCUUUGGACCAUUUAUGCCAGGGGUUGAAUGGGAGUCCUUAACAUGGCUUGUGUCUUCUUUCUAUGAACUUUUGGCUUUGGCUUACCUCUGACUUGUCUUCCAAGGUUCAUGUGCUGGUGGCUUAGUCUCCACUGGAACACUGCAGAAAGCUGGAAGGACGUUAACAGGUAUUUAGGCUCAUUUUUAUUGCUGCUCAUCUGACAGGAGAGAUGAUGCAUCAGCUUUGCUGACUCAUCCCCCAGGAAAUAAUCCUCUAUAUACUUAAUAUGAGGCAAGAAGUGGGUCUGGCUUGUUCACAUCUGUCGAGACACUGGUAUACAAGAAUGCCCUCGGUGUUUAAUUGCAGAAUAAGUCAAAGGGUGCCAGUUCAGUGGAGUAAAGAGAAAAAGAUUGGCUGAAGUCAUAAGCAACACAGCUGUGCUGGAGAAAAGUGGAAAAUAGAAAACAGGGACUCCCUUGUGCUGUGAUUAGAGGUAAGACUGACCCCAUUGUCCUGUGGGUGGAGCAUCUUUUAUCUGGAAGUCUAAAAUCUAAAUUAUCUUCACUUUGAAACUCUUUGAUCUAGAUAUAACAUCACACAUGGAAAGUUAUACUCCUGACUUCUUGUGAUAGAUCAUGUAGGUACAUUAAAAGUAUUGUAUGGGAUUCACAUUAGGUUAUGUGUGUAAGGUAGAGAUGAAAUAAGUGAAUUUCAUGCUAUGAUAUGUAAACUUAGUGAUAGUCAACAAAAUGGUAAGAAUAUAAAGGAGGAGUCAACCAAGACCCAUAGGUAGAAAAAGGCAAACUACUGACUUCACCUAUGUUCAUUAAUGUAUAACCCUUGAAAUUUUAGAUUUUCUUGAUUCUCUAGUCCUUCAGAAAUGACCAGUGAAAGUCUAGUAGGACAUAUGCCCUUCUCGGGAUCUGCCUCUACCUCCCUUCAGGGUAACUAGACAAAUAACUGGGAAUGAGGUGCACAAUAGCUCGAGCUGCUGAUGGGAAAGGACCAGUCAAUUACCACAGCUGAUGGAAGCUGCACAAGGUAAUGGCCUGCACUGACUCAGUGGAAGAGCCAGACUAGACUUCAAGAUGGCGGAGGACAGCUGGCUUUCAUCCAUAUCGCUGGAAACCAUGGUGGCAAUGUUGCAUAGCUCCCUGUGUGAAACUUCAUGCAUCAUAGAAGAAAGAAACAUCCCAGAGGGAACGCAUCACCCUUACUAGGAAACUUCAUCUACCUUCCUGCUCCCUAUACCUCCCCCGAAGUGAAUUUAUGGCCAUUUACUUAAUAACCACCUCAGCAGAAAAGCAAAUCCUACUCACUUUUGGGGAGUGUUGGGCCCAGGUCUUGAGGUGAUGAAGGUAAGGCUGUACUAGGAAAGUCAUCACAACUUUUGUGUUAGAGUGGAACCCUAUGGGAAAGGAAGGAAAUAAAAUCUUGGCCCAGGUCUGGUCUGACUCCCAGUGGGAUGACAGGGUCCAGAGAGCAUAGUAAUUAUUACACACUUGUUUCAAGUGUAUAAAAAGUGGUAGCAAUGCUUGUUCAGGUAACCUUGCACUUUUUCCCUCUGCUUCUGGUCUAAGAUACAAUGGAAAUCCACCCGAGAGUUUCUGGAAUGGCCACUAGGAAAGGAACCACUAUAUAACAUCGCCUCCCUGAAGGUUUAGAUUAGUGCCACAGGAAUUGUGCAAGGUAGUGAUUGCCAUCAUCGGCCCCACUUAAUUCACAGUUUGGCACUCACAAAUGAGCUAAAUCUUGGCAGACAUUGGGAGACCACUUCAGACUCAAUUAAGUAAUAACUGCAACUGAAUUCCUACAUCUUGGCCAAAGCCCAUGGCCUCCGGCUUAUUGCAUGUAGUCAAUGUUCUGGACAAUGCUACAUUUACAUGCAGCAAACAGCAGUCUCAUUCAUAGUUAUGCUAAUUCCCUUAGUGUGGCCAUGACCCAGCUCAAAAAGGCAUGAAACUUCUAGAUGUCCACUGUAUGCCCCACUAGUCCACUUCACUGACAAUAGCAUAUUCCUAACACCAGGUUAUCAGGAAGAGCCAAGGGUGCCAAGGGUCAUAGCCUCAUCACAUGCUCCAGAAGGUGAGAGCUAAACCCUACAAGGAUUUGGGAGCACACCAGCUUGGCUUCAGUCAGAGAAGCAGAAACACUAUGAAUGGCAUACAGCAAGAGUGAGGAUUCCUGUGGCAGAGGAAAUAUAUCAGUAGUCUGGGUCAGGCUAUUCUAUACCUGAUGCAGGUCUGAAUCCAGCAGAAAAGACUAGUAUGAAGUGAAGGAGAAGAAGGACAGAGAAGAAGUGAGGACAUGGAGCAUGGAUAUGGGAAGCUUGGCUGAGGCCCCACUCUGCAAGCUGAGCCCUCUGGUUGGUGCAGGGUUCGAAGAACCAUGACUGCUUUGUACAGCCAUGUUCAGGGUGCAAUGUAAAUGUAGCUACUUGGGCCUGGAAGAACCCACAGAACCAAAAGGAAAUGUCAGAGGCAAAGCAUGCUGUUGGGCCCCAGGGCCCUAGGAUAGUGGUGAGGUCCAGGUUGUCUCUAACAGGGAGCUCAUGUCCUCUGAAAAACAGCCCCUAGAAUUGUCUGGGUAAAAACUGAAAGUCUGUCCUCAUGAUGCCAAGGAUUAUGUGGCCCAAUGCCCACAAAAUAGAAAAGAAUCUCUGUACCAAAUCCCUUGAAAGAUUGUGGUUGUGACCAAUUGAUAAGUCUGGGUAACUACACAUUGUCCAAAAGUUAAUAUGCAGAAUAUACUGCCAUUAGCAUACUAAGUGGCCAUGCUUAAUGCUGCAACCCUCCUUGCUGAGUUGAGAGGAUGGUCCAUACUGGGUGAGCCAAAGUUCCUUCCUUGCUCCGACCCCCUCCUGACCGUACACAUCUGGACAGUGGUUGAUCAGCAUGAUUUCUAAAACUAGAGGGUGUAGAGAACUAGGUUAAGACAAGCAUGGAGUCUGCUGGAAGCUACCACAGCCAGAUCCGCUGAGCCACCAUGUAAGUUUGGACAUGUCCUUUGCUUACUAGACACACAGGAACAGCAGUGGCAACUCAGAGAGACAGAGACUGAACUGUCACUGAUGGUACUCAGGCACCCAAAGCUUUCUGAACACCAGCCCUGUUCCCAGGUAGUAGAAACUAGCAAUGAGCAAACAGACAAACCCUUUGCUCUGGUUAGAGACUAGAAAAAACGAGGGAAAGAAGUCUAGAGUCAGCUCUGGGUAUUCUCAGUGAUCUGGUGCUAGGACACUGUAUACCCAACUCCAAGUGCUCAGGCCCUUCAUGUCAAAGGGUAUGAUGUUUCCACGAGCCUGAUCCAUCUUCCAUACACACCAGAUUACCUCCACAUGACCUACAGUUUCUGGUGCAGCAUCAGUGCCUGCCAAUUGGCAUGAGCAGGCUGGUAUAGAUUGUGCGAGCUAUGGAGACCACUGUGCAAGGGGUGGGGUAAUUUUAGAUACAGUGGCCUGAGAUAGUGCCUGAAAGUAAAGACUUAAAUAGGAAACAAACAAACAAGCAAGCAAAACCAAAACAAAACAAAAACAAUUCAUCAAAAUGACAAAGGAAUCAGUAUACAGGAAACUCAAAGGUACAGAGCAGGCCACAGGCAUGCAAGAAGGAGUCAGGAGGCAGCAGCCUGAAAGGAGAGGAAGAGGGAGAGAAGGGGUGGGUUAGGGAGAUGGAGACUGGGAUUGAUGGAGACUGUCUUAGUCAGGGUUUCUAUUCUUGCACAAACAUCAUGACCAAGAAGCAAAUUGGAGAGGAAAGGGUUUAUUCAUCUUACACUUUCCACAUUGCUGUUAAUCACCAAAGGAUGUCAGGACUGUAACUCAAGCAGGUCAGGAAGCAGGAGCUGAUGCAGAGGCCAUGGAGGGAUGUUACUUACUGGUUUGCUUCUCCUGGCUUGCACAGUUUGCUUUCUUAUAGAACCCAAGUAGUAGCCCAGAGAUAGCACCACCCACAAGAGGCCUUUCCCCCUUGAUCACUAAUUGAGAAAAUGCCCCACAGCUGGAUCUCAUGAAGGCACUUCCCCAACUGAAGCUCCUUUCUCUGUGAUAACUCCAGCCUGUAUCAAGUUGGCACACAAAACCAGCCAGUACAGAGACUAUCAUAAGAAGUGCCUAGUGCAACCCAGCACACAGCACACAACAGACUCCAGUCUGUGACUGUUACAGUUGCCCUUUCAUCUUUGGGGGAUAGGGCCUUAGACUCUAGUGGGUACCCAAACUCCCAGGGAGUACUGAACCCUUGGCAUUCUAUAUACAUUCCCUGUGCCUGCAUGGCUACAGUAUCAUUUAACUUCUAACUCAGAAGAGAUGAACAAAACCCAUUAAAGUAAGAUUAUACUGUGGUAAGUCUUAAGCUUCAUGACUUGUUUAUUUCUAUAAUUUGUUAUCUCACAGUGGUGGCAACCUGAGUGAUGGACACUGUGGGUGACAGAAGAUUGCUUUUGAGGGAGUAAGCUGUAUGAAGUGAGAAUAAACCUGCGGAGUUCCUCCCAUUGACUUAAUCCACUGGACUUCCUGUUUUCUGUGACGCACACCGUACAGAGGUACUUCUGCGGUGUUGAUCAACCUGCAGCUAUGCUUGCCUGUAAACACAGGAUCUCCGAGGAAUGGGAAAUUGGAGGAAGAGUCAACUGUCUGAGAAGCUGGAAGUUGGUCAAGGGCAUAGUUCUUGUUGAAACAUUCAUCAGACUCCAGACUCUGUUCCUGGAAUUGUUCCAGAGAUGCCACACGGUGAAGGUCACGGCCUGUGAACCAAAUGCUGUUCACAGGUACAUGACUGAAAUGCAAGCUAAAAUCUGCUGCCAACGCAAACACAGUUAGAAAACUUCCAGCAUUCAGUGCUCCUGGCUUCUCCGAAAGGUAAUAAAACCUGACCAUCCUGGGUCUGUGCCGUGCAAGAUGCCAAUACGUGGGAGCUCAAAGUUUACCCUGCCUCUUCACAACCCGGGAGCCUCCACCCUACUUCCUGGUGGCCUUUCUGUUGCCUCUGACCUGGAUCCAAGAGUCACUGCAUCUUGUGGUGUCUACUUUAGAGCAAGUCAACCCAGGAGUCGCAGAGGAAACAGAGCAGCAUCUUGUAGUGUGAAGAACCAGCUCCCAUUCUGUAUUUAACCAUCUGUCUUGUCUUUUAUCCGGUGGUGCUGAGACGGGGAUCCUUGGAGCGAAGUGCAGUGCAGACACUUGAUGAGCUUCCGGUCGUCCCUGUUCAAUCACGUGGGGCUUUCCAGGAUCACUGUGUUGCCGAAUGGCAUAAGAUGAGGAUACAUCUUAGUGGAGAGUCACUCUCGUGUAUGAACCCUGCUAGCUUCAUCUUGUGUCUACUCCAAGAGGCCCUUUGAAGGGCCCCUUUUGAUACAACAGGCUUGAGGCACUCCUGGACUAGCCUACGGUCAGCAAAGCAAAGAAUUUUGAUGACCGGGUUAAAGAGAUCUCACCGGCAUAACUCACCAGAAGCACACUACAGGAAUGUCCAGUCCAGGCUUGUGUGUGUGUCCCAGGAUAGCCCAACACAGAUGGGGAUGACAGUGCCAUGUGUAUUAUCAAAAGGGUGGACAGCAGCCACCAUUUAAGAAAGAAGUCCCGCUGAAUGUAGCUUUGUUCAACUAGCCACAAAUGUGGGUAGGGAAGAAAAUUACAAUAACGUAGACGUGUCCAAAGUAAACCCAAAAGGUUGUAAAGUUUUAAAAGUCCACCGAAUUGUGCUCACAUCUUAAUUAGAAAGCAAAUGCUGGCACAUCUCUUCCGAGGAGUUAAACGGUUUGAAUUAUGGAUGAGACGGAUUCCUUCAAGCUGAGCCUCUCAUUUGGACACUCAUGGAACCGGGCAAUGACACAGCCAUAAGAAGCUGCAGCUGAUCACCAGACACCCCUGUGCUUCUCCCACUUCUGAAACUCGAGUGGGCCCCUGAGAUAAGAAUGAGAAUGUCUGUCUCCUGUCACUUUCAUCUGGAGGCCCUGUGAUGACGCCUGCAUCUUGUUUCUUCCCCCAACAGUGGAGGCCACGUGCCAAGCUCAAGAUGCGUCAGCAGAUCAAAGCGCUGCUCCAACCCCGAUCAUCUGAGCUUGAUGGAAGGAUGAGGCCUGAAUCCAGAAACUUGCUCUCCUCCCUCCAUACUCAGGCUAUGGCACCUGCGUGUACCCCCUGACUCCAAAUCACAAACACACACACCAUACAUAUACAGACUCAGUGUUAAUAAUAAAUUAAAUUAAAAUUAAAAUAUGUGUUUGAAGAGUUCAAUGUGGCAAUCCAGGCGAGGGAAGUCACAGACCCUGAGACUCACUGGUUGGGCGGCUCAGAAGGGUGAGCAGGAGAGCAGCGUGGGAUGCUGAGAAACUGGUAGCACUGGUUGCACACAGGAGCCUGAGAAAAUAAGGACAUACACUGAAUACAGUGGGUCUGGAGGUUUUCUGGACAUUGAUAUGCACCGUGGAGGUCCUCUAAGUUGAUGAUGAAAGUGGAAACUCAUCACCUAGUCUUGGAACCACAUCUUUCACUGCUGAGAUAUACAAAUAUCAAUUGUCUCAGCCCUCAGCAACAUGCUGUCCAAGUCUAUGGCCUGGAGAGUGGUCUAUGGCACCAAGAAGAGGAUUCUCGGAGGUUCAGGCAAUCAUGAAGUUGCCUGAGGACCCUGGAGAGAUGGCUGCUUCCAGAUGGGGAUUAGAAUAUUCCAAGUCCGGAUGGGCAUGUUUUUAGCAGAAUUUGAUGUAUUCCAGGAGGGAACACAUGGAAAGGACAUAGGUACCAAAUGAAUGGCUUCCGGUGGCCAAUGCAGAUUGUAGCACAUUGACUAAAUAACAACCCACAUGGCUUGCUGAAGCACCUGAAUAAAUGAGUAUCUAUAUUACAUAUACAUAUACAUACAUACAUACGUGUGGGUAUCUAUAUUAUAUCUCUAUAUACAUAUGUGUGUGUGUGAAGGCCAAAGUUCUCUAUAGAAGAAUGGCAAUGUCAAAAGUUGAAGGAAGUAGAAAAUCUCUACUGGGCAUCCUGAUUAUUAAUAUGUAAUUCAUUUAGGACCCAUUAGCAGGCACUAAAACUAAUGUUUGAACAAUAGACAAAGGUCGGGGAAUUUGCCAUUCUUGAAGCAUUUCACAAGAGGCUUAUCAGAAGCGCAAAAGGGUGUUUACAGUGAAGGGAGACUCCUCAACUCUGGAGUCAUGUCACAGCAUCACAGGAUGGGCACAGAAAGGGCUGCUCCAUUUCAUCCCUGUGGGACUUCUGCCAAGCAUGAAUAACCUCAAUUCAGUCAUGAGAAAGUACCAGGUAAACCCAAAUUGCAGGAUCCAUCAUCAGCCAUUCUCUUAAAGAUGGUAAGGUUGUGAGAGCUAAUGAAAGACUGGGGAAGACAGGGAUGUGGUGACUGAGGGCAGUGUGUGUGUGUGUGUGUGUGUGUGUGUGUGUGUGUGUGUGUACAUGUGCAUGUGUGUGU